AAGUGUGUAAUCUUCGGAAAGCUGUGACUGCGACCUGGAGUUGCACAUGUGUUCUGGUGAAUGGAGUGAGAUGAGGACUGGGUUUGAGAAGAUUUUGUUGGCUCCACAUGGUUUUGCAAAUCAACCUGCUGCUCCAGUGAUGACAUGCUGCUGAGGGAAGGUUUGGUGGUUCCUGGGAAGUUGAAAGGAUCUGGGCAAGCUUUUUGUAAGAUCCAGCAGAAGCUUACUCUCUUCUUCUUGCAUAGAAUAUUCUGCUAUUGGGCUAGGCGUGGUGGUUCACGCCUGUAAUCCCAUCACUUUGGGAGUCAGAGGCAGGCAGAUCAUGAGGUCAGGAGUUCGAGACCAGCCUGGCCAACAUGGUGAAACCCCG
rnacentral:lncRNA from 1 species